rnacentral:rRNA from 1 species
GGUUGCGAUCAUACCAGCACUAAUGCACCGGAUCCCAUCAGAACUCCGCAGUUAAGCGUGUUUGGGCGAGAGUAGUACUAGGAUGGGUGACCCCCUGGGAAGUCCUCGUGUUGCAACCC